CCUACGGGAGGCUGCAGUGAGGAAUAUUGGUCAAUGGACGCAAGCCUGAACCAGCCAAGUAGCGUGCAGGAUGACGGCCCUACGGGUUGUAAACUUCUUUUAUCGGGGAGUAAAAGACGGCACGUGUGCCGUUUCGAGUGUAUACGAACAAAAAGCAUCGGCUAACUCGGGGCCCGAGGCCGCGGUAAUACGGAGGAUGCGAGCGUUAUACGGAUUUAUAGGGUUUAAAGGGUGCGCAGACGGAAGAUAAAGACAGUGGUAAAAUUGUGAGGCUCAACCUCUUAGAGCCGUUGAAACUGGUGUUCUUGAGUGAGCGAGAGGUAUGCGGAAUGCGUGGUGUAGCGGUGAAAUGCAUAGAUAUCACGCAGAACUCCGAUUGCGAAGGCAGCUUACCGGCGCUCAACUGACGCUCAUGCACGAAAGUGUGGGUAUCGAACAGGAUUAGAUACCCGUGUAGUC
rnacentral:rRNA from 1 species